GGGCUCAGCUCUGCUCCAUCUUUAGAGAGAUGCAGCUCGGUGGCUUGCAAACCCUCUUAGUCUUUGUGCACCUGUGGGUGCUUGUGUUUUAAAUGUGGAUUUGGCUCUUUGUAUUUUACUUAAAGUGCACUUGGGGACUCAUGAGCUUGUGUGAUCGGGUUGGCUGAGGGGAGAGAGCUUCUGGCUUCACAAGGAGGCUGGAAAACAGGCACGUGUCAUUUCACAGAGUGGGAUGGAGGAAGCCAAAUCCUGCAGUCACCUCCCACCAGUCCCAGGAGAUACCCUGCAUCGUCCUUCCUCCAGAGCUAUUCCCGGCCUCGAUUUUUGUGGGAAGGUUGUUCCCGACGUCCCGACCGCAGUGACGCCACGCCGAGGGCACCCCCGGCGCGCCAGUGCUGGGGGCGGUGAGUGAAGCCUGGCUCUGUCCCAUCCAUCCCAGAGCUCCCCUCAUCCCCACCCCACCAACUGGGGGCACAUUUCAGAAGCCAAUUUGCUUUGCAGCCCCUUGAUCGCCCAGGGGAAGGAAAGCGCCUUUUCCACCCGGCCGCCGGCUCUUCCCUUUCAUCCAUGAACAGAUCCAGGGGCUGCAGCACCUCGGAGACCCCCAGGAGCCACCUGCCAUGGCAGGGAAUGGUGUGCAGAUGAGGACUGUUCUUUGGGAAAGCCUGGGAAUGGAAGGAGCCUGCUGGGAUGGAGCAGCACAGAAGCCCCUGAGCUUGGGUGAGGAGAUCAGAGCAAGCUGUGCCUUUAUAAAAAAAAAUACAUAAAAUACAUAAAGCAAUAAAAGCAGUUGGCUCGUAGUUGGAGA